rnacentral:rRNA from 1 species
CCUACGGGAGGCAGCAGUGGGGAAUAUUGCACAAUGGGGGAAACCCUGAUGCAGCGACGCCGCGUGAGCGAAGAAGUAUUUCGGUAUGUAAAGCUCUAUCAGCAGGGAAGAAAAUGACGGUACCUGAGUAGGAAGCUCCGGCUAAAUACGUGCCAGCAGCCGCGGUAAUACGAAUGGGGCAAGCGUUAUCCGGAUUUCUUGGGUGAAAAGGGGGCGAGGGCGGCCUUGCAAGUCUGAUGUGAAAUACCGGGGCUCAACCCCGGGGCUGCAUUGGAAACUGUGAGGCUGGAGUGUCGGAGAGGCAGGCGGAAUUCCUAGUGUAGCGGUGAAAUGCGUAGAUAUUAGGAGGAACACCAGUGGCGAAGGCGGCCUGCUGGACGAUGACUGACGCUGAGGCUCGAAAGCGUGGGGAGCAAACAGGAUUAGAUACCCCAGUAGUC